rnacentral:snRNA from 1 species
AUGUUUACGCUUGGGGCAAUGACGCAACUAAUGAGGUUCUAAUCAAGACGCGUCUAUUGCUGGUUGAAAAUCUUCUAAAUAAAAAUGCACUUAUAUGAGUUUUACAUUUUAUCCUUUUAAUCCUAAA